rnacentral:rRNA from 1 species
AGACCCGAAACCCGGUGAUCUAGCCAUGGGCAGGUUGAAGGUUGGGUAACACUAACUGGAGGACCGAACCGACUAAUGUUGAAAAAUUAGCGGAUGACCUGUGGCUGGGGGUGAAAGGCCAAUCAAACCGGGAGAUAGCUGGUUCUCCCCGAAAGCUAUUUAGGUAGCGCCUCGUGAAUUCAUCUCCGGGGGUAGAGCACUGUUUCGGCUAGGGGGCCAUCCCGGCUUACCAACCCGAUGCAAACUGCGAAUACCGGAGAAUGUUAUCACGGGAGACACACGGCGGGUGCUAACGUCCGUCGUGAAGAGGGAAACAACCCAGACCGCCAGCUAAGGUCCCAAAGUCAUGGUUAAGUGGGAAACGAUGUGGGAAGGCCCAGACAGCCAGGAUGUUGGCUUAGAAGCAGCCAUCAUUUAAAGAAAGCGUAAUAGCUCACUGGUCGAGUCGGCCUGCGCGGAAGAUGUAACGGGGCUAAACCAUGCACCGAAGCUGCGGCAGCGAACGUAUCACUUAAAGCGAUUCAGCGGGUUACGAUUGACGGAGCGAAGCGACGUCAAAGCGUAUACAAAGUCGAGUCGGUUUAAGGAUACGUUCGUUGGGUAGGGGAGCGUUCUGUAAGCCUGUGAAGGUGGCCUGUGAGGGUUGCUGGAGGUAUCAGAAGUGCGAAUGCUGACAUAAGUAACGAUAAAGCGGGUGAAAAGCCCGCUCGCCGGAAGACCAAGGGUUCCUGUCCAACGUUAAUCGGGGCAGGGUGAGUCGACCCCUAAGGCGAGGCCGAAAGGCGUAGUCGAUGGGAAACAGGUUAAUAUUCCUGUACUUGGUGUUACUGCGAAGGGGGGACGGAGAAGGCUAUGUUGGCCGGGCGACGGUUGUCCCGGUUUAAGCGUGUAG